rnacentral:rRNA from 1 species
UGUACGGAAUCCUUUAGAGAUAGAGGAGUGCUCGAAAGAGAGCCGUAACACAGGUGCUGCAUGGCUGUCGUCAGCUCGUGUCGUGAGAUGUUGGGUUAAGUCCCGCAACGAGCGCAACCCUUGUCAUUAGUUGCUACAUUCAGUUGGGCACUCUAAUGAGACUGCCGGUGACAAACCGGAGGAAGGUGGGGAUGACGUCAAGUCCUCAUGGCCCUUAUAGGUGGGGCUACACACGUCAUACAAUGGAUGGUACAAAGGGUCGCCAACCCGCGAGGGGGAGCCAAUCCCAUAAAGCCAUUCGUAGUCCGGAUCGCAGUCUGCAACUCGACUGCGUGAAGUCGGAAUCGCUAGUAAUCGUGGAUCAGAAUGUCACGGUGAAUACGUUCCCGGGUCUU